rnacentral:rRNA from 1 species
AACACGUAGGGGGCGAGCGUUGUCCGGAAUCAUUGGGCGUAAAGAGCUCGUAGGCGGUCUGUCGCGUCGGUCGUGAAAACUUGGGGCUUAACCCUGAGCUUGCGGUCGAUACGGGCAUGACUGGAGUUCGGCAGGGGAGACUGGAAUUCCUGGUGUAGCGGUGAAGUGCGCAGAUAUCAGGAGGAACACCGGUGGCGAAGGCGGGUCUCUGGGCCGAUACUGACGCUGAGGAGCGAAAGCGUGGGGAGCAAACAGGA